rnacentral:rRNA from 1 species
AACGAACGCUGGCGGCAUGCCUAACACAUGCAAGUCGAACGAGACCUUCGGGUCUAGUGGCGCACGGGUGCGUAACGCGUGGGAACCUGCCUUUAGGUUCGGAAUAACUCAGAGAAAUUUGAGCUAAUACCGGAUAAUGUCUUCGGACCAAAGAUUUAUCGCCUUUAGAUGGGCCCGCGUAGGAUUAGCUAGUUGGUGGGGUAAAGGCCUACCAAGGCGACGAUCCUUAGCUGGUCUGAGAGGAUGAUCAGCCACACUGGGACUGAGACACGGCCCAGACUCCUACGGGAGGCAGCAGUGGGGAAUAUUGGACAAUGGGCGAAAGCCUGAUCCAGCAAUGCCGCGUGAGUGAUGAAGGCCUUAGGGUUGUAAAGCUCUUUUACCAGGGAUGAUAAUGACAGUACCUGGAGAAUAAGCUCCGGCUAACUCCGUGCCAGCAGCCGCCGUAAGAC